CCGGGUGGCAGCAGCGAGGAAUAGUGGUCAAGGGAUGAGAGGCUGAAUCAGCCAAGGAGCGUGAAGGAUGACUGCCUUAUGGGUUGUAAACGUCUUUUAUAUGGGAAUAAAAUGUUCCACGUGUGGGAUUUUGUAUGUACCAUAUGAAUAAGGAUCGGCUAACUCCGUGCCAGCAGCCGCGGUAAUACGGAGGAUCCGAGCGUUAUCCGGAUUUAUUGGGUUUAAAGGGAGCGUAGGUGGAUUGUUAAGUCAGUUGUGAAAGUUUGCGGCUCAACCGUAAAAUUGCAGUUGAAACUGGCAGUCUUGAGUACAGUAGAGGUGGGCGGAAUUCGUGGUGUAGCGGUGAAAUGCUUAGAUAUCACGAAGAACUCCGAUUGCGAAGGCAGCUCACUGGACUGCAACUGACACUGAGGCUCGAAAGUGUGGGUAUCAAACAGGAUUAGAUACCCUGGUAGUC
rnacentral:rRNA from 1 species